rnacentral:rRNA from 1 species
CCUUUCUUGUAGAACCGUAAUGCCAUUAAUUUGGUGUUGCGGGGAAACAGGACUGUUACUUUGAAAAAAUUAGAGUGUUUAAAGCAGGCUAGCGCCUGAAUACAUUAGCAUGGAAUAAUGAAAUAGGACGUUCGAACCUAUUUUGUUGGUUUCUAGGAUUGACGUAAUGAUUAAUAGGGAUAGUUGGGGGCAUUAGUAUUCAAUUGUCAGAGGUGAAAUUCUUGGAUUUAUUGAAGACUGACUACUGCGAAAGCAUUUGCCAAGGAUGUUUUCAUUAAUCAAGAACGAAAGUUAGGGGAUCGAAGACGAUCAGAUACCGUCGUAGUCUUAACCAUAAACUAUGCCGACUAGGGAUCGGAUGAUGUUAAUUUUUUAAUGACUCAUUCGGCGCCUUACG